rnacentral:lncRNA from 1 species
CUCAGGUGAUUCUCCCACCUCAGCCUCCCAGGUAGUUGGCACUACAGACGUGUGCCACCAUGCACAGCUAAUUUUUUUUUUUUUUUUUUUUUGUAGAGAUGGGGUUUCACCGUGUUAGCCAAGCUGGUCUCGAACUCCUGGGCUCAAGUGAUCCGCUCACCUCAGCCUCCCAAGUGCUGAGAUUACAGGUGUGAGCCACCGCGUCCAGCCUGAGUACUCUGUUCUUCUCAAGUUGAUUUUUGUGCAGAAUGGGGAUCAGGUCAUGUUGUGUUUUUGCUUGUCAGGCGGUGAGAACAGAACUGAGAAGGUGGGGUCAACUUUAAAGACGGGCAUUUCCGAGGACACGGAAAGUUGAGUGUUGAGUCCAUUGGGAGGACUCCAAAGGCCAGACUUCAGAGAUCCAAAUUUGUAGAAUCUCAUGAAUCCCAAGAAAACACAAGAGAUCUUAGAAGGAAAGGAUCCUUCAAAUGUGUGAGCUGUAAACUCAGCCUUGAACAAAAGAGAACGAAAAGGAAGGUCUUAGGAAGGAGGCCUUGGUCAGAACGCCAAGUUUCCAGGUGAUGCCAGGAUGAAGUUACUCAUUGGAAAGGGAUAGUACCCCGGGGCAGAUGUUGGUCAGGGAAGGGGGAUGUAUUUGAUUUAUUUAUUUUUUUUUUUUUUUUUUUGAGGCGGAGUCUCGCUCUGUAGCCUGGGCUGGAGUGCAGUGGCCAGAUCUCAGCUCACUGCAAGCUCCGCCUCCCAGGUUUACGCCAUUCUCCUGCCUCAGCCUCCCGAGUAGCUGGGACUACAGGCGCCCGCCACCUCGCCCGGCUAGUUUUUUGUAUUUUUUAGUAGAGAUGGGGUUUCACGGUGUUCGCCAGGAUGGUCUCGAUCUCCUGACCUCGUGAUCCGCCCGUCUCGGCCUCCCAAAGUGCUGGGAUUACAGGCUUGAGCCACCGCGCCCGGCCAAGGGGGAUGUAUUUGAAACUUAGUUUACACAUGGUUUGCAAAAAGGCUUUCUUUGAAACACACCUCCCUAAAUAAGUUGGGUCCCCUGUUCUUCCAUCUCACUUGUUCAGUGUCCAUCAUCGCCCUAGGAGGGCAGCUCUGCCAUGACCAGGACUGGCCCAGCCUCUCUGCCUAAUGCAUGGCUGACACUGGGUGAAUUGGAGGGGAAGGGUGGGAAGAAAUAAUCAAUGUCAUCUGCAUCUCAGGCUUGGGUUCUGGGAGAGGGCUUUCCUCUGAGUGGUUGCUGUCUGACAUCCCCUGUGCCCCUGCCCUAGAAGGACGGCUGAUGCUGUCCGCCUGCAGGAACUGCCUGCCCUCCCCUGCUCUCCCCCCAGCCCAUAACACUGCGGGGGAUGGAGAAGGGCUGACCCUCGGAUG